UUUGCCUCGCUUGCUUUCUUCCUCCCGCGCUCGGUUGAACACCUCAUCACCAUGGCGCUGCCGUAGACGUAGCCACCGACCUCCCUGCUCCUCCCGGCCGUGUCCACGAGCUCCACCAUGCUCGACUUCAUCGACUACGCCGAAGAACGCGGGCCGAAGAGCGCAACAUCGUUGCCAACGUCAUUCUCUUCUUUCUCGAGCACCGAAAAUCGCCGCCCUCCGCCCGUCUGCUCCAAGCCUCCCCCGAGCCCGCCUUGAUCACAUGUAGGAGCGUUAGCCCAGGAGCCAGUUGGUCUGCUAGCGACUACUACUACCCCGACGGAUCCUACUACUACGUGGAGGUCGCUGACGACCAGGGAUAGUUAGGAGGCUUCUAGGCACGAGGCCUUGCCUUUUUGAUCCGAUGUUAUGUUUGUGCUAGCUUUCUUAAGGCAAAACUUGUUUACUUAUGUCUGUACAUAGAUAUUAUUUGCUUUCGCUGACUUGUGUGUAUUCAAGCUUAUGUAUUCGAGCCCUUGAGGCCCCUGGCUUGUAAUAUGAAGCUUGUAUGACUUUAA